UACGUAGGGGGCAAGCGUUAUCCGGAUUUACUAGGUGUAAAGGGAGCGUAGACGGUGAUGCAAGUCAGAAGUGAAAGCCCGGGGCUCAACUCCGGGACUGCUUUGGAAACUGCCAUGCUAGAGUGCUGGAGAGGUAAGCGGAAUUCCUAGUGUAGCGGUGAAAUGCGUAGAUAUUAGGAGGAACACCAGUGGCGAAGGCGGCUUACUGGACAGUAACUGACGUUGAGGCUCGAAAGCGUGGGGAGCAAACAGG
rnacentral:rRNA from 1 species